GCGUAACGCGUGAGUAACACGUGGGCAAUCUGCCCUGCACUCUGGGACAAGCCCUGGAAACGGGGUCUAAUACCGGAUACUGAUCCGCCUGGGCAUCCAGGCGGUUCGAAAGCUCCGGCGGUGCAGGAUGAGCCCGCGGCCUAUCAGCUUGUUGGUGAGGUAGUGGCUCACCAAGGCGACUACAGGUAGCCGGCCUGAGAGAGCGACCGGCCACACUGGGACUGAGACACGGCCCACACUCCUACGCGAGGCAGCAGUGGGGAAUAUUGCACAAUGUGCGAGAGCCUGAUCCAAGGACGCCCCGUGAGUGAUGACACACUUCGGAUUGUGAACCUCUUU
rnacentral:rRNA from 1 species